AGCGACUGUGCAGGUUACCGCGGCUGCUGGCACGGAGUUAGCCGGUGCUUCUUCUGUGAGUGAUGUCCUUCCUGCCGGUUAUUGACCCGCAGGCCUUCUUCCUCACUGAAAGUGCUUUACAACCCGAAGGCCUUCUUCACACACGCGGCAUGGCUGGAUCAGGGUUGCCCCCAUUGUCCAAUAUUCCCCACUGCUGCCUCCCGUAGGAGUCUGGGCCGUGUCUCAGUCCCAGUGUGGCUGAUCAUCCUCUCAGACCAGCUACGGAUCGUCGCCUUGGUGAGCCGUUACCUCACCAACCAGCUAAUCCGACAUAGGCUCAUCCGAUAGCGCGAGGCCCGAAGGUCCCCCGNUUUCCCCCGUAGGCGUAUGCGGUAUUAGCCUGGGUUUCCCCAGGUUAUCCCCCACUACCGGGCAGAUUCCUAUGCAUUACUCACCCGUCCGCCGCUCGCCACCAGGGAGCAAGCUCCCCGUGCUGCCGCUCGACUUGCAUGUGUUAGG
rnacentral:rRNA from 1 species